rnacentral:rRNA from 1 species
GACGAACGCUGGCGGCGUGCUUAACACAUGCAAGUCGAACGGGAAGGCCCUUCUUGGAGGGUACGCGUGUGGAGAGGGGGAGUGACACGCGUGUGUGCUCUGCCCUGCACUUUGGGAUAAGCCUGGGAAACUGGGUCUUAUACCGGAUGUGCUCAUUCUUUGGGUUGGGGUUUGGAAAGCUUUUGCGGUUUGGGAUGAGCUCGCGGCCUAUCAGCUUGUUGGUGGGGUAAUGGCCUACCAAGGCGGCGACGGGUAGCCGGCCUGAGAGGGUGUACGGCCACAUUGGGACUGGGAUACGGCCCAGACUCCCACGGGAGGCAGCAGUGGGGAAUAUUGCACAAUGGGCGCAAGCCUGAUGCAGCGACGCCGCGUGGGGGAUGACGGCCUUCGGGUUGUAAACUCCUUUCGCAACCGACGAAGCCUUUUGGUGACGGUAGGUUGAGAAGAAGCACCGGCUAACUACGUG